AAUAUGAAGAAAUAACAAAUAAAAUCAACCCCCAAUCGGCAGAAGAUUUUAAAACUUUAUUCAUCGGCCCAGCAUCAUCGUGCGUCCAGGGUUAUCCCGGCCACAACUAGGAGGUGUCCAGGGUAUUCCCGGCCCAGUUCGAGGAGUCCAGGGGUUUCCCGGCCCACCAAGAAGCAAGAAGAGGCGCGGACUCCAGACCUCCGGACCUGAUGAGUGAAAUCACUCCUAUCGACGGCGACACCACGGCGACAGCGACUUCAUAGCGGUCACGAAAUUGAAUAAUAAAUGCAUCGCUAACAAUUAAAGUAAGUGCAAUUUAUCUCUCGUAAUGGGCAUUAGGUAUUAUAGGUAGAAUAAAUAGUACUGUAAAAAUUUUUUCUUGGUUAGAUAAUAAAUAAUUUAAUUUUAUACGUAAUAAUA